GCAUUUUCAACUGCGCCAAUAGUUUGAGUUGCAUUUGAUGAUGUAUCAUCAUGUCUUGGCACGAGAGGAGUUGAGGGGACUACACGAUAGACAUUCCCUACGCAAUCCAUCUGUUUUAGGCUUUCAUCUUUGAUCAGUGUUGGCACUGAAUGUGAGCGAAGUACGGGAUGCACUCCUGCUUUAACUGAAUAAAAUGUAGCAUCUCUGUAGUCACCAUGCGUUGAUUCUGGAUUAGAGUGUUCAAUUGGAGUUAUAGGCAAUGAUGAAGUUCUGUUCAUCUUUGAAUUGAAAAUUCUUUUAAUGGAUAGAGUCCUCAAAAUUGAAGGUUUGUCCUGAGGCAAAGGAGAGACUCCAAGAGCUAACAUUGCAGCUUUUUCAAUAUCACUCGUCUUAUUUCGUAAUUUGAAACUUAUUUUAGGGAGGAGAGAUUUAAUGGAUGAUUUUGCCCACGGUAAUGAGGGACUAGGAGAUUCGUUUAGUCUGACAUGGUUAGGACUGGGCGAUGGCGAGAAAAUCACUCUCUUGGGAGUUUGAACUGGUGAUGUGGACAUGUCUAUCCUAACAAAAUCUUCUGUUUGUCCAUCAAUGGUUCUUUCAGGUACUUCCAGAGGUAGUUGUUUCGUCUGCAGUUCGCAGAGUUGUAGUUCCUCUACAAUUUCACUUGAUUCACCAACCUUUUCAACAAGAAGAGGAGGAGGAUCAACUCUGGAAUUAAGAUUGUUUGUACAGUUUUUUCCAUCCUCUUCAGCUAAAGACCUCU
rnacentral:misc_RNA from 1 species